ensembl:lncRNA
CCCUUUCAGCUGCCUGAAAUCCGAGUCAUUAAACUGUUCCCUGAGGUCAGACCACAGAUGCUUGGUGCAUGUUUCCUACAUGUCCACGUCUAUGUAACAUAUGUACAUAGAGAGAAAUAGGCACAAACGUGUAACUCCAUGGGGGCACAGUGUGAGGUAAAAGAAAAACAAAACAAAACAUGGAUUUCUUGCCAAAGAACCUUGGUUUCUAAUUACGGUUCUGCCUGGAACUCCUUAUGGGACAUGGGGCGAAACCACGUGUCAGGACUCAGUUUCCUCAACAGUUUGAAGGAGUAACCCAGAUGUUUUGUAGGCUGUCUCUCUAUUCUAACUUUUAUACUUUUAUAGCUAAAUACACAUUUAGAUAACUUUAAGGUGAGGGGGGGCUGGAAACGAGGCAAGUGUAUAUGUGUCCCUGAGGUGAGAGAAGGAGUUAAAAUGUAAACUUCUAAGUAAAGAAGGCACUCCCAGAAUCCUCACCUCUAUCAAUUUUUAACCAAUUGUGGACCAAAGUCUGGGAUUCUGCUGAGUAAGUCCAAAAGCCAACUGAAGAUUUUCAAUGUUAAGAGCUGGAGGAAGCCAAUUCUAAGACGUUAUACCUUUGAUCUCCAGCAUUUAUAAUCAGAUGUGACAGUUCCCAAGCAUAUUUUCUGCACUAUGUUUUUUUUUUUCCUUCUUUUUCUGUUUGUUUUUGGAAAUUGUCCCAGUCAUCAGUGAUAGGACUUGUAAGCUGGACACUCUUUAAGCCGCUAGGCUCCACAUGGAUGUAAAAAAUAUGUCAUAAUAGUCAUAAACACACACACACACACACACACACACACACACACGAAGAAAAAGGAGGGAAAAAAAAAAAAAACCUAGAGAGAGAUUCCUGGUGAGAAACUUAGAAGUACUUCAGCCGUCAUUGCAUUAAAGGUAAUUAUUUGAAGUCAGAGGAAAUAACAGAUGAGAAGUUUGCCCUUAUUAAAAUAAAUAAAUAAAUAAAUAAGCCUUGCUCUACCAGAACAAACUUGAAGGCAAUGAAAGAGAUAUUUUCCAUCAAUACUUUGUAUCCUUUUUAGAUCUCCACUCUUUAAAAAGAAAGGUCUAAAGUUUUCCAGGCCUGCUUGUCUGGACAAAGAAAGUCCUUUAACAGACUUUGGCAUCUGCAGGAAAUAAUAAAGUAACUCCUAUUUAUUAAACGCCAACCUCCCCACCAACUGUGCCCUUCCACUCAGACCUUCUGGAAUAUGGAUGCCCACAUACAAGAAGAGAUGGAGCCAAUUACAUUCUCUAAGGGAAAACUAUUGAGAGUUGUCAUGUGCAACCCUGGGAGGGUCCUCAGCAAUUUUCCAAUCCAACAUGACCGAUAGUGUGUAAUUGAAAAUUGAGGCCCACACAGAAUGCAUUUGCCACAUGCACUGCAUCAAACUGAACCAGAUCCAGAACUCUGAUGUCCUGGUUUUAAAUCCAUUGUGUUUUUCCAUGGCUUAUUGUGAAAAGAGGAUGUGGGGUAAGCAGCCCUGCAAAAGAGCCAUUUGCCAUGACCUUCCCUUCAGAGAAGGCCCCACCUUUGGUCUUUUGACAUCAGCUCCACUGAAGUUCUAGUCGGUCUUAGCCGUACACUGACAGGAUGGAAAGGAGCAGACCGUCAUCCAUACAUUCUGUGUGUGUCCCAGUAGAGGACCCAGCGUAGGAGGCCCCACAGGCUCCUGUGGUACUGUGAUUUAAUACUGUUAAUAAACCUAUAAUUGUCUCA